CCUACGGGAGGCAGCAGUGGGGAAUAUUGGACAAUGGGCGGAAGCCUGAUCCGGCCAUGCCGCGUGUGUGAAGAAGGCCUUUUGGUUGUAAAGCACUUUAAGCGAGGAGGAGGCUACUAGUACUAAUACUACUGGAUAGUGGACGUUACUCGCAGAAUAAGCACCGGCUAACUCUGUGCCAGCAGCCGCGGUAAUACAGAGGGUGCGAGCGUUAAUCGGAUUUACUGGGCGUAAAGCGUGCGUAGGCGGCUUUUUAAGUCGGAUGUGAAAUCCCCGAGCUUAACUUGGGAAUUGCAUUCGAUACUGGGAAGCUAGAGUAUGGGAGAGGAUGGUAGAAUUCCAGGUGUAGCGGUGAAAUGCGUAGAGAUCUGGAGGAAUACCGAUGGCGAAGGCAGCCAUCUGGCCUAAUACUGACGCUGAGGUACGAAAGCAUGGGGAGCAAACAGGAUUAGAUACCCUGGUAGUCCAUGCCGUAAACGAUGUCUACUGGCCGUUGGGGCCUUUGAGGCUUUAGUGGCGCAGCUAACGCGAUAAGUAGACCGCCUGGGGAGUACGGGUCGCAAGACUAAAACGUUAAGGAAUUGACGG
rnacentral:rRNA from 1 species